rnacentral:rRNA from 1 species
CUAGCCGUAAACUAUGAGCACUGGGUUGGAGGGUCUCCCAUAACCUUCUAGCCGUAGCGAAAGUGUUAAGUGCUCCGCCUGGGGANAAGAACCUUAUCCUAGUCUUGACAUGCUUGGAUUAACCCUGUGAAAGCAGGGCCACACCCGCAAGGGUGGAACAAGCACAGGUGC